AAUAAUGUUUCCGCUUUGCGGAAAAUAACAUUGUGUGCACCAUUGUCUGUCUUUGGUAGUUCGAGUGCCCUUUUGAGGAAUUCCUUUGCGGGAACGACUUGAGGGCCUACCCUGUCGACUUUAUUGUCUUUGGGGUUGGGCUACCGCCCAUUUUUGUAAAACCUUUUGUAUGUUUUUUGUGUCUGAACGAAGAGUUAGUCUUUAUUGAUUAAUGAUUUGAAUA
rnacentral:misc_RNA from 1 species